GAUGAACGCUAGCGGCAGGCUUAACACAUGCAAGUCGAGGGGCAUCAGCCGAUGUAGCAAUACAUUGGUGUUGGCGACCGGCGUAAGGGUGCGUAACGCGUGAGCAACAUGCCCGCAACAGGCGGAUAGACCGUGGAAACGCGGCGUAAACCGCCAUAGGACCAGUAGCAGCAUUGCAACAGGUUGAAAUCUUCGGAGGUUGCGGAUUGGCUCGCGUAACAUUAGUUUGUUGGUGAGGUAACGGCUCACCAAGACUACGAUCGGUAGGGGAUCUGAGAGGAUGGCCCCCCACACUGGUACUGAGACACGGACCAGACUCCUACGGGAGGCAGCAGUAAGGAAUAUUGGUCAAUGGGCGGAAGUCUGAACCAGCCAUGCCGCGUGCAGGAAGACGGUCCUCUGGAUUGUAAACUGCUUUUGUUAGGGAAGAAACUUCCGUACGUGUACGGGACUGACGGUACCUAAAGAGUAAGGAUCGGCUAACUCCGUGCCAGCAGCCGCCGCAGUAA
rnacentral:rRNA from 1 species